UGGGGAAUAUUGCGCAAUGGGGGCAACCCUGACGCAGCAACGCCGCGUGAGCGAUGAAGGUUUUCGGAUCGUAAAGCUCUGUUCUGAGGGAAGAUAAUGACGGUACCUCAGGAGAAAGCCCCGGCUAACUACGUGCCAGCAGCCGCGGUAAUACGUAGGGGGCAAGCGUUGUCCGGAUUCACUGGGCGUAAAGAGCACGUAGGCGGUUAAUUAAGUCAGGUGUGAAAGUUUUCGGCUCAACCGGAAAAGUGCACUUGAAACUGGAUAACUUGAGUAUCGGAGAGGUAAGCGGAAUUCCUAGUGUAGCGGUGAAAUGCGUAGAGAUUAGGAAGAACACCGGUGGCGAAGGCGGCUUACUGGACGAUAACUGACGCUGAGGUGCGAAAGCGUGGGGAGCGAACAGGA
rnacentral:rRNA from 1 species